rnacentral:rRNA from 1 species
UACGGAGGGUGCGAGCGUUAAUCGGAAUUACUGGGCGUAAAGCGUACGCAGGCGGUUUGUUAAGCGAGAUGUGAAAGCCCCGGGCUCAACCUGGGAACUGCAUUUCGAACUGGCAAACUAGAGUGUGAUAGAGGGUGGUAGAAUUUCAGGUGUAGCGGUGAAAUGCGUAGAGAUCUGAAGGAAUACCGAUGGCGAAGGCAGCCACCUGGGUCAACCCUGACGCUCAUGUACGAAAGCGUGGGGAGCGAACAGG